UACGAAGGGGGCUAGCGUUGCUCGGAAUCACUGGGCGUAAAGCGCACGUAGGCGGCUUUCUAAGUCAGGGGUGAAAUCCUGGAGCUCAACUCCAGAACUGCCUUUGAUACUGGAGAGCUUGAGUCCGGGAGAGGUGAGUGGAACUCCGAGUGUAGAGGUGAAAUUCGUAGAUAUUGGGAGGAACACCAGUGGCGAAGGCGGCUCACUGGACCGGUACUGACGCUGAGGCGCGAAAGCGUGGGGAGCAAACAGG
rnacentral:rRNA from 1 species